rnacentral:rRNA from 1 species
UGGGGAAUUUUGGACAAUGGGCGAAAGCCUGAUCCAGCAAUGCCGCGUGUGUGAAGAAGGCCUUCGGGUUGUAAAGCACUUUUUGUCCGGAAAGAAAUCCUUGGCUCUAAUACAGUCGGGGGAUGACGGUACCGGAAGAAUAAGCACCGGCUAACUACGUGCCAGCAGCCGCGGUAAUACGUAGGGUGCAAGCGUUAAUCGGAAUUACUGGGCGUAAAGCGUGCGCAGGCGGUUUGCUAAGACCGAUGUGAAAUCCCCGGGCUCAACCUGGGAACUGCAUUGGUGACUGGCAGGCUAGAGUAUGGCAGAGGGGGGUAGAAUUCCACGUGUAGCAGUGAAAUGCGUAGAGAUGUGGAGGAAUACCGAUGGCGAAGGCAGCCCCCUGGGCCAAUACUGACGCUCAUGCACGAAAGCGUGGGGAGCAAACAGGAUUAGAUACCCUGGUAGUCCACGCCCUAAACGAUGUCAACUAGUUGUUGGGGAUUCAUUUCCUUAGUAACGUAGCUAACGCGUGAAGUUGACCGCCUGGGGAGUACGGUCGCAAGAUUAAAACUCAAAUGAAUUGACGGGGUCAUAGCUGUUUCCU